GACAGAGGGUGCAAACGUUGUUCGGAAUUACUGGGCGUAAAGCGCGCGUAGGCGGCUUUGUAAGUUAGAGGUGAAAGCCCGGGGCUCAACUCCGGAACUGCCUUUAAGACUGCAUCGCUUGAAUCCGGGAGAGGUGAGUGGAAUUCCGAGUGUAGAGGUGAAAUUCGUAGAUAUUCGGAAGAACACCAGUGGCGAAGGCGGCUCACUGGACCGGUAUUGACGCUGAGGUGCGAAAGCGGUGGGGAGCAAACAGG
rnacentral:rRNA from 1 species